rnacentral:rRNA from 1 species
UACGUAGGGUGCAAGCGUUAAUCGGAAUUACUGGGCGUAAAGCGUGCGCAGGCGGUAAUGCAAGACAGAUGUGAAAUCCCCGGGCUCAACCUGGGAACUGCAUUUGUGACUGCAUUGCUGGAGUGCGGCAGAGGGGGAUGGAAUUCCGCGUGUAGCAAUGAAAUGCGUAGAUAUGCGGAGGAACACCGAUGGCGAAGGCAAUCCCCUGGGCCUGCACUGACGCUCAUGCACGAAAGCGUGGGGAGCAAACAGG